rnacentral:tRNA from 1 species
CGGGCUCCUGGCUCGGCGUGCGGGCGUACGGCCUGCUGGGCUGGGGCGGGGUGGCGGGUCUCGUCGCGGUGCUGGGCGCGCUGGCGCUCGUCC